rnacentral:sRNA from 1 species
AAUUAUUUUACAUGUUAAUAAAAUACACGAAACUGUACAAAUACUAUGUGUACACCUACAUAUACUAAAUAUACAAUUACGUACAUAAAAGUACAUACCAAUACUAUAAUAAAUUUUCAAUUCUACAAACUGAGGAGACUACAUAUACUAAACAAAAUACAAGCUGAGGAGACUAAAUAUAUUUAGUAAUACCAAUAAUAUAUGAUAUACAACUACAUAUUUACAAACAAAGAAAAU